rfam:Rhizophagus irregularis DAOM 181602 strain DAOM 197198 GLOINscaffold_16082_Cont16033, whole genome shotgun sequence.
UUCCACGAGGCACUUAUAGAUCGAAUAUACUUUUCACUUUUUACUAAAGGUUUCCGUGUAAGUGUCUCAUAAAAAGUGGAUAUGAAAUUUUUGGAAUUUCUCUACUUUUAAGAGAAU